rnacentral:rRNA from 1 species
GUUGUUGCGGUUAAAAAGCUCGUAGUUGGAUUUCUGCUGGAUUCGGUCGGUCCGUGCUAUGCGCGAGUAUCUGUCCGAGCCCGGCAUCCUCGCGGAUCACGUUCCUGUGCUUCACUGCAUGGGUCGGAGUUCGCGACUUUUACUUUGAGGAAAUUAGAGUGUUCACGGCAGGCUAACGCCAUGAAUAUAUUAGCAUGGAAUAAUAAUAUAGGACCUUGGUUCUAUUUUGUUGGUUUCUAGGGCUAAGGUAAUGAUUAAUAGGGACAAUUGGGGGCAUUCGUAUUAACGCGUCAGAGGUGGAAUUCUUGGAUUGCGUUACGACGAACUACUGCGCAAGCAUUUGCCAAGGAUGUUUUCGUUGAUCAAGAGCGAAAGUAAGGGGAUCGAAGACGAUUAGAUACCGUCGUAGUCUUUACCAUAAACUAUGCCAACUAGAGAUGGGGCGUUGUUACCUUUUGACAUGCUCUGCACCUUAUGAGAAAUCAAAGUCUUUGGGUUCCGGGGGGAGUAUGGUCGCAAGGCUGAAACUUAAAG